rnacentral:piRNA from 1 species
UAAUGUGUAUGUUGCAUUGCAUUUUUGUGU